GUGGAAAACAACUUUACUAGAAAAUUAGCAGAAAUAUAAUUCAGAACAGAAGUUUUAGAGAACAACGCCUUAUACUCAGAGGCCCAACCAAAAAGAUCGAAACUUUAUUAGAGCAAAAGCCUUGUGUGUUUCUCUUCAAGACUUGAACAGUUCAACAACAACUGAGAUAUGCCCUUCUUCUUCAGCCCAGAUCUAUUCAGUGAGUGCUGCUUGUGACAAUGUCAAGACCAUGGGUACUGGUUUGUCUGCUCCUGUUAAUUGUGUUUACCUCACAGUUUGAAUGGAAGCAAUAUGGGAAUGAUGAACCAAGUCCAAGCACUUCCAAGAAACAUCAAUAUAUAUCUGAAAGGGAAGAAGCUGUGAAAGAAAAAAUUAUCCUCUCUCAAGAGAAAAAUAUACAGAAACUUAGUGAGCUUGUGCGGAGUCUUCGGGAACAAUUGCUACAAUGUAGAGGUGAAAAUGAGAUUGUCAAUGGCACUGCAGCCCCUUUGACUGAACUUCUUUCUGAGCUUGAAAGGCAUCCACUUUUGGAGGAUUAGUCAGAGAUCAUAUGCGUUAAACAUCAGUAUGUUUGUAUCUUUAAGUAGGAGAAUCCAAAUUCUUUCUUAUUGCUUAGCUUAAUGUGAAACUACACCCGCUUAGAAGGUGAAUUGCAAAGUGCAGUAUCAAAACAGUUUUCUUUUGCCAGUAUGUUAUGAAUAUAUAAAGUUAAUAUGUUUUACUUUU